rnacentral:rRNA from 1 species
GAUGAACGCUGGCGGCGUGCCUAAUACAUGCAAGUCGAGCGAACAGACGAGGAGCUUGCUCCUCUGACGUUAGCGGCGGACGGGUGAGUAACACGUGGAUAACCUACCUAUAAGACUGGGAUAACUUCGGGAAACCGGAGCUAAUACCGGAUAAUAUAUUGAACCGCAUGGUUCAAUAGUGAAAGACGGUUUUGCUGUCACUUAUAGAUGGAUCCGCGCCGCAUUAGCUAGUUGGUAAGGUAACGGCUUACCAAGGCAACGAUGCGUAGCCGACCUGAGAGGAUGAUCAGCCACACUGGAACUGAGACACGGUCCAGACUCCUACGGGAGGCAGCAGUAGGGAAUCUUCGGCAAUGGGCGAAAGCUUGACGGAGCAACGCCGCGUGAGUGAAGAAGGUCUUCGGAUCGUAAAACUCUGUUAUUAGGGAAGAACAAAUGUGUAAGUAACUAUGCACGUCUUGACGGUACCUAAUCAGAAAGCCACGGCUAACUACGUG